CCACUCACGGAAUACCAUCGACAAACUGGGAUCAGAAUAUCAAAUUUCGUCUAGCUUUUGGCGACUUAUGAUACCCCUUUCACCGGCAAACACUGAAUUAUCGGACAACAUGAAAUCAGGGACUAAAUUCACCAGCAUUCAUGAUCCUCGGACCACCCGGCCCCUACGCACAGCCGAUUUAUAAAUGUUGCAUCUUUCAAUCAGUGUCAAUCCGGAAGAAGAACCCUGAUCAGCUCCUGGAAAAAUCAGUGUUCUUGCAGUAUUGUCAGUCAAAUCUCAAGGAAAGGAUCCCAGAAGAGGA